AUGGCCGGGGCUGAGCCCGAGGCAGACGCCGGCGUGUCUCAGACAAGAGGCAACCCCAAAGUUCGUGCAGAUCCUCGAGCAGCUGCUGCUGCAGGUGCCGGCGCCGGUGAUGGGGACCAGAUCCGCAAGCAGAUCAUCGAGCAGCUGCUGCUGCAUGUGCAAGCGCUGCGUGCAGACGGCGAGCCUAUCCAGACUCCGGCGUCUCAGCAAGCUAAAGAAGACGCGGAGUAUCUGGACAAGAUGCGCGGGUGGCUGAUGACGGUGGCCACGCUCUUCGUCGGCUUCGCGUUCCAGACCGGGAUGCACCCGCCAAACUGGAUACCCAAGGACUAUUUGCUGCUGUGGGUAGCCGCGCAUACUCCCUAUCCAGACUCCAAGGCCAAGCACGAUGCCCUGCUCGCCCUCAGGAAUGCAGGUCAUACUAUACCUCUUUUCAUGUUCUUGAACACGGUUACACUUGCCAUAGGGCUGGGUCUCUUGGUGAGGCUGCUGCUGAUGGAAAAGACCCCGUCUAGAGGAGACAUGAAGCUCGUUCCUUUCAUGGUGGUGGGUCUCGCCAUGACUGUGGCAUGCACCUUCGCCUCCGGUGUCUCGGGCAGUCCACUCGUUGAUUCACUGGUUCUUGUUUUUCUGGCGACAUAUGGCGUCUGGACGGUCGUCAGUGUGAACGGUUGGUUAAGUAACUAUGGAAGUUGGUUUAGGUCACGGUGA
rnacentral:rRNA from 1 species